rnacentral:lncRNA from 1 species
AGGGCGUCAUGGAAACCCUUGUGUGCAGGGAGCAGCAGACAGAUGAUUCCCCAGUCCCGGAACACUCUCGGCCCUCUUCAGCCACUCCCUCCCCAACCCACACGCCAUCAACCUCCAGACCCUCUCGCCGUGGCUUAGAGGUGUCUCUGACAACGUGGCACACUGGGAAGGCCUUCUUUCCUGCUACCAAUACAAAUGCAUUCUGAAUUUGAUAUGUCAUUAAAUGUAAAAAUACAGCCAAUUUGAAACAAGCAAAUGGAAAUUCCCAGGAACCAAAAACAGAAAGAAAAAUCAGAGCUACCGCAGUGCUGUCCCUGCAGACAGAAUUUGGGAGAGGUACUCAGAGUCACCUCCUGUGAGCCUAUGCAAGCCAGCUCCUGCACAACCCUGGUUUUAGUCCAGGUAAAGGCCCGCCCAGGUGUUUGAAUAUGGACUCCUCACAUACUUCUGCAGACUCCAGCUUUGGGUUGACCCAUCGGGGAGAGGGAACUUAGCAUGAACCCUUGUAUAAAAAUGAAAAUCUCUUUCAUUGGAAGGGAAGAUCACUGACUGGGCUAGUCUCCCAAGACCUAGGAAAGAGCUUGGCUGUCAGAGGGUGAGCUAGGGAACGAACUGUGCUUGUUGAUAUCCACAUCCAAGGCUGAUGGCCGGAGGAGGCAGUUAAGAGCAAAAGGCAAUGGACCAAACUACAUCAAAGAUGGGAUUAUAACAAAACUUUAAAAGUUGGUUUACAAUGCAGAAAAUUCAUUCUUCUGGAAACAGACUUGAAAAAAAUAAAAUAUUUACUCUACCUUUCUUGUUCAGAACCAUGCCUUAGGGUAGGUAAAUAUUUGAUUAUGAAAGGUUCUUUGUGUGGAAUAAAUCUAAGUAAUAAUUGCUGAAGAAAUGAUAUGAUUAAGAUAUGGCCAUCUUUGGUCAGGCGUGGUGGCUCACGCCUGUAAUCCCAGCACUUUAGGAGGCCGAGGCAGGUGGAUCACAAGGUCAGGAGUUCAAGACCAGCCUGGCCUACAUGGUAAAACCCUGUCUCUACUAAAAAUACAAAAUUUAGCCAGACAUGAUGGUGGACACCUGUAAUCCCAGCCACUUGGGAGGCUGAGGCAGGAGAAUCACUUGAAACUGGAAGAUGGAUGCUGCAGUGAGCUGAGAUCACGCCACUGCACUCCAGUCUGGGCGAAAGAGCAAAACUCCAUCUCAAAAUAAAUAAAUAAAUAAAAGAUAUGCUCAUCUUCUUAUUAAAUAA